rnacentral:snRNA from 1 species
AUCUUUGCGCAGAGGCGGUGACGUACCCAAUGAGGAUUUACCGAGGGGCGUCUAUUGCUAGUUGAAAACUUUUACCAAUAACCCGCCGGGACGACGUGAAACACCGUCGGCUAGGCAAUUUUUGAGGGCCGAAAGGCC